CAAAACGAGGAGGAAGGGAGGGCUAAAGGGGGCAGGUUGUUAUUAUAUUUAUAUAUUUUUGAGGAGGCACCAGUCAGGGAGCCUCUCUCACUUGGAUGACAAACGCACUCCGCCCUCUUCCGACCACAACAAGCAUUAAGUAGGCCUACAGAAGCCACGGAGAGAUGCAUCAGGAGCCGUGUGUUCAUAAAGCCCGUCUUCUCAAUCAUCUCAUAGGGGCUCCAGAGGCGCCAUUGAUCCCGCGUAUGGCUGCGCACUCUGUCAAUCACGGCGCAGCGCUUUGGCGGCGCGGAGAGGGAGCUGUCCGGUGCUGAAAACCCCCGACGAGAGAGUAAACAAGCUGUCCAUGACUGAAACCGAGAGAGCGAAUUAUGGGCUGAUUUAUCAGAAUAAACGUCUGAUUAGAGUCAAUAAAUAGAGAUUUUUUUCUCACAGAAGUCGUUUUGUUGAUGUUUAAGUUUGAAUUAAAUCAAUUUUCCGAGGUUGUAAAACACUUAACAGGAACCUGGUUUUCUAACCUAACCCCAGUUUACACCAAUCUGACAGAAAUGCAAAGGGUUAAAAGAAAGAUGAAGUGGGCUAACAGCGUAUUAGGUACCUGGAAAUCUUGUAGCUACUUUUAACUUUGAGGUUAAACUAAAAAUUGAACUAUGAGAAUAAAAUUUGAGCUAGGCUGUGUGUGGAAAGAUUAUAUGCUAUGUAGAUUAUAUUGAAUAUAACAGUGCCUGUUUAAAGUUAUCAUACAUAUCUCUUCUUAAAGGGAUAUCUUGGCGUAAAAUUAAUUUAGGGUCAAACAGACCGUAACACUGAGUUAGACACCCCCUCAAGAGAUGAAUGUUGCUGACCGCUUGCUUCUCUAGAUAUACCAACUUCAGUAACGACCGCACGAUAGCAACACACAACAGUCUACGUCUCAACCAAAAAGCCACUCUAUAGCCACAAAUAAUGUUUAGAACAGCACCUAACUUCAUCGACAGUAAAAAUAGGGUCCCGGCCAUAGUACUAGCCACCAAACAUCUUUUUAGCUUUGCCUGAUUUCUUUAGCAAAGAGACUAAACACAACUCACCUACUCUCUUCCAGCAGCCACUUGUUUGUAGCAAGACCCGGGCCAGUCCAUUAUGGACUACAGUGGGGUGACGCAGCUCAAGGAAGAACAUUUAUGAUAACUUCUUCAUGGAAAUGCAAUCAGACCGAGACACUGAGGCAGAAGAACUACCGUGUCUUGGUCUGCAGUGCAAAAUGAUUAAUAGUAAGUAGUAAGUAAAGUAAUGAUCAUAAAUGUUCUAACUAAGUGUUACGGUGUGUUUGACCUUAAAUUAAUUUUACACCAGAAUAUCCCUUUAAUAACUGAGAAAACUCAAAAGAAAAUAGACAAUAGUACGAGUUUGGACAACCAUUGAGUCAGCCAUACCUUCUCUUCAGCCUUGGCAUGUUUUGAUCAGUAAACUGGUUUAAAAUUGGGUCACUCAUGUUUAAGCUAAGUAACUUCUAUUUUUUUGCCUCAUCAUCCAUCCACCCGUCUUUCUCAUUCUGGGUUGACUCUCUUUUUCUCUAUGCUGGAUGCAGUGGCAUGUCACGUCACACUGUGUUGGGCUGGAAGCGUCUAGUUCUGGAAACAGGGCGAGGAAGACAAGCGUGACGGAGUGUGACUGAGCCGAGAGACGACCUGUGUGCUGAACGGGCCACCGGGAACGGUCGAAGUCAGAACCUGCAGACCUCAUAGAACCUGCUGACCAACCUUCGGCACAUACAGCUGCUCCUGACGGGAACUAGCAGCUGCCAACAACGUACAGAAAAUAAUCAGAUGUAUUUAGCAAAGACCUGAGCAGGAUCUGAGCUAAAACUUUGACAGUAAUGCUUCCAAAAUGCUGCAAGGAU
rnacentral:lncRNA from 1 species